UAUUUUAUAUAACUGUUGUGGACCUUCAUUACAACUAUGUUGUUGACGUUUACUUUGUCGUGUCAAGCUUAUAGGAAUAUCACAUUUUUUACAAAUAGAUUCUAUAUUAGAAAAUAAUUUUUCAAAUUCUAUUACACCAUAGUUUUAUCGUAUACCUUGAAUGUUUUUUUUUUUUUUUGGAUAGUGUAUGCAGUUUCUAAUGCAGUUGCCAAGUCUAGAUAUUCUUUUUGAAGAAAUCUACUAAGGAGGAAAAUAACGGCCAAUAUUUUUAUUAUUAUAGAUAAGGUGGUUUGAAAAUCGAAUUGUUUUGUUGCAGUUAUAAGUUGAUUCGCUGCACUUAAGGAAACUGCAUAUAUCCAAUUUGGAAUAGAAUCCAAAGCAUACAAAAUAGCUAGCUGAAGUUCCUCAAACAAUAUUACUGUAUUGUGACGGCCAACCCAUCGAUUGGCACAUAAUGUUUUUAGCUUAAAACGUCUCGUUUCUGGAAAAUUAGUUUCUAUUGAUAUUUACAAAGUGUUUUGCCUUUUUGGAUAUCCGAAAAAAUUAAAUACAUUUUGUAUAGUACCUAUACAGUUUCUAAUCGAAGGAACUUUACAACGAAAAUGUACAUCCAAAUAUAAUCAAUGGGCAUAUAAUGCAAAUAUAACGCUUCUGGAUAUUUAUUGCGAAUAUAUUUUUGAACACCAUUAUACUAUUGCCACUCAUGGUUGCUGCGCCAUCAUAUCCUUAACUAAUAUUGCAAGUUAAGUCCCAAAUUAAUCAUAGAUUUUAGAAUUAUAUUAGAUAGACCAUUAUUUGGUAUAGCAUUGACUUCAGAUAGUUUUUUUUUUAUCUGAUACAGACUCAAAAUAAUUUAAAAUAUUGUUUUGGGAUUUUUUACUCAUUUUAUAACAAUCGUUCUAACAGCACGUAUCUCCAACUAGUGAGUACUGAGUAAUAACUAGUUAAAACUUAAGUCACAAUUCACAAUAACAAAAUAAUACUAAACACAUUAACUGUAAUAAAGAUAAGAUAUGCUAAUCGGCUGCAGCGAAACAUAAGGGGAAAACAAUUUAAAAAUAUCUUUUAACGUAAUCAUAUAGCAAUGUGUAGGUAUUAACAAUGUCACUGACAUAGGUAGAGCUAUCAUUAUAUAUACACUACACUGGACUGGACUUAUUUAUUAUUAAUUUUUAUUAUUUGUCUAAACU